UGACUUAUGAGCAGAACCUCAGCUCUGACUGCUGGGCAGAGAGUUUCAAGGUGAAGAAUGAAGGCACAGCUCUGCUUUCCUUGGUGCUCUUUGAUUUGAAAGAAUUUCUUCUGGGGCCAGUGCAGACUGGCAGUGUGGCUGCUAAGUUGAACGUUGUUCCCAAAUGUCUGGGCAGGCAGGUGGCUGAACCUUCACACCUGGCUCAAUAAACCUG
rnacentral:lncRNA from 12 species